AGCAAUCUCUUGAGUGAUGUUCAAUAGAAAUAAACCCCCACUAAGAUAACCCUUCCCAAAAAAGACUCCCCCACGAGAAAUAACAACUUUGUCACAUUUAAAAAUAAGUUUAAGACCUACCUUGUUGAGAAGCUCACCAAAAACUAAGUUUCUACAAAGGGAGGGUACAUAUAGAAUAUUGUUUAUAACUAAAGUUUUUCCAGAAGUUAAUUUAAGAAGAGUUUUUCCUUUACCCAUAAUUCCAGCUGCAGUGGAUCUACCCAUGUAGACACACUCACCAUCAGCAGAUUCCUCAAAGUCGUGAAACAGUCUUUGUUGGCACAAUGGUGCCUUGAAGUCCUUGUGUCCACUAUCCAGUCAAUUUUGUUAGCCAACAUGUUUGCCUCAACAACCACAACAGCAAUGACAUCAACACCAUCAGUAAGGUUGGCUUGGGAUGGAGCUUUUCCUCAAUUCUUUGAGCUUUGUCCUUGUCUCUGGUUGCACUGAAAAGCCUUGUGACCAAUUUUUUCGCAGACAUAGCAAGGUCCUUUUGACUUUUGAAUAUGGCCCUCCGACUUAUGAAGUAAUUAUGCUUCUUUACAUGUCUUUUCUUUUUGCCUUUCUUUUAUUUUCCUUUAAACCUGUUCACAAAAGUACUAGAAGAUUCCACAAGGUUAGCUUUAGAAGAAUUAAGAGAGAGAGAGAGANNNNNNNNNNNNNNNNNNNNNNNNNNNNNNNNNNNNNNNNNNNNNNNNNNNNNNNNNNNNNNNNNNNCAAGGUUAGCUUUAGAAGAAUUACGAGAGAGAGAGAGAGAGAGAGAGAGAGAGAGAGAGAUUUUAUCUUAUCCUUAAGCCGUUCAGAUUCCUCAUCUUUGAGAAGGUUUGCUUCCUCAGUCCUCAUGUGACUGAUUAGUUCUUGAAGAGUUAAGUUUUUCUUCUUGUGUUUUAGUUGAUUCCUGUAAUCACUCCAGGAAUGUGCAAACUUUUCUCGCAAAACAUUAGCCUGAAGAAUGUCACACAUCUCCAUGCCCUCGUUCAAAACAUCAGCAGCCAAGUUCUCAUACUCAUGAACAUAUUCCAUGAUUGACUUAUCAUCAACCAUCUGAAACUUGAUCCACUUUCCAACGACAUACUUCUUUUUUCAGCGUCAUCAGCACUAUAUUUCUUCUCCAAACUGUCUCAUAUGACAUAUAAACAAAUUAAAGAGACGGUUAGUCAUAUGAUUAAGCAGAUGCUCUCUCACUGUUUUAUUAUCCUUUUCAAAUUUAUUCGUAGUAGCAUCAUCAACAAUAAUAAUAUUAGCAACAUUAGAACUAUCAGCAACAAUAUCAGCAGGAGGUUCAUUAAACAAAACAUAAUCAACUUCUAAUUGUUCAAAAAAAAACUAAAAGUUUUUGGGACCAACACUUAUAAUUAUCUCCAUCAAAAGGCUCAAGCUUUGAGAGAUCGGGAAGUUAUUUAUUCAAAUUGGUAGCCAUUAGUCAAUAUUAUAUGUAAAAGCGCUUUUAAAUUGUAAGAAAAAUAAGCAGAUAAUAUUGAUUAGGAACAAGAAGGAAAGAUGAACAACUUAUCAAAAAUACUGUAUCGUGGCAUUCCACUGGCUUUAAAGCGAUUUCGGCCCGACUAGGUGCAAAUCGUUAAGGUUGGUCGCUCUCCUAGGUUCCACAACACCUCCAAACACGUGAACUCAUGGCUGGAAGUUAGAAUUUGCACAAAACAGUUUCCCAGAAAGAAGAGAAGAUGAAGGUAUUUUCUGUAGUUAUUACAGAAAUUAAAGAAUAUUGCAGGUAGAAAAGUAAUGAUUAGCAAGAUAGAUUCUUGGUUAAGAUUGUGUGAUUAUGAUGCCUAACCCAUAACCUAUUUAUAGGCAAUUAAGGAGGUUGCAUGUAUGACAAAUGUCGAGAGUCACACUUGUCCCGUUAUAUUAGUACACUUGGCUCCAAUAUUGACAAGUGUAUCUUGUCUUCCAUGCAUGAAGACAUAAUGGUAGAUUUGCGUAGCCAUUUGUCAAGGCC
rnacentral:lncRNA from 1 species